CUUUGUUGCCAGCGAUUAGGUCGGGAACUCAAAGGAGACUGCCAGUGAUAAACUGGAGGAAGGUGGGGAUGACGUCAAGUCAUCAUGGCCCUUACGACCAGGGCUACACACGUGCUACAAUGGCGCAUACAAAGAGAAGCGACCUCGCGAGAGCAAGCGGACCUCAUAAAGUGCGUCGUAGUCCGGAUUGGAGUCUGCAACUCGACUCCAUGAAGUCGGAAUCGCUAGUAAUCGUGGAUCAGAAUGCCACGGUGAAUACGUUCCCGGGCCUUGUACACACCGCCCGUCACACCAUGGGAGUGGGUUGCAAAAGAAGUAGGUAGCUUAACCUUCGGGAGGGCGCUUACCACUUUGUGAUUCAUGACUGGGGUGAAGUCGUAACAAGGUAACCGUAGGGGAACCUGCGGUUGGA
rnacentral:rRNA from 6 species